UCGGAUCGUAAAACUCUGUUGUUAGAGAAGAACAAGGAUGAGAGUAACUGUUCAUCCCUUGACGGUAUCUAACCAGAAAGCCACGGCUAACUACGUGCCAGCAGCCGCGGUAAUACGUAGGUGGCAAGCGUUGUCCGGAUUUAUUGGGCGUAAAGCGAGCGCAGGCGGUUUCUUAAGUUCUGAUGGGAAAGCCCCCGGCUCAACCGGGGAGGGUCAUUUGGAAACUGGGAGACUUGAGUGCAGAAGAGGAGAGUGGAAUUCCAUGUGUAGCGGUGAAAUGCGUAGAUAUAUGGAGGAACACCAGUGGCGAAGGCGGCUCUCUGGUCUGUAACUGACGCUGAGGCUCGAAAGCGUGGGGAGCAAACAGGAUUAGAUACCCUGGUAGUCCACGCCGUAAACGAUGAGUGCUAAGUGUUGGAGGGUUUCCGCCCCUUCAGUGCUGCAGCUAACGCAUUAAGCAACUCCGCCUGGGGAGUACGACCGCCAAGGUUGAAACUCAAAGGAAUUGACGGGGGCCCCGCCCAAGCGG
rnacentral:rRNA from 2 species